GGAGAGGUGGCAGAGUGGUCUAUUGCGGCGGUCUUGAAAACCGCUUCGGUUUAACAGCCGACGGGGGUUCGAAUCCCUCCCUCUCCGCCA
rnacentral:tRNA from 1 species